UAAUUCUGCUUGGAUUAGAAGGGUCAAGGCGGUGCCCAGGAUCCCCGCUCAUGCACGAAACAGCAGGUGUAGUAUUCUGUUACCUGUGAGUACCUGAGAACAAUCAAUUAUUGGUGAACAUAAGUGGAAAGAAAGGUAAAAUGGGAAUAAAAUCCAAGUUCAUCUAUAGCGGAUUCGGAGGGGACCAGCCUUCCGCGAUGGCAGAUAACAGGUUGCAAGAAGGUUUUCUGAGUCUCAAAAGCCUGACUGUUAUACAUCAAAACUCAAAGUUGAUGCUUCCAAUGACAGAUGCAGAAGAACACAUAGAGACAGCGAGUGCACUGUCUAGAGACCAGGAGGAGGAAAGCCAGAGGGGAAGCAGGAGAAGGGAAGAAGGUACAGCAAAUGCUGUACCAACAGCGCCGCCCUCUCCCUCCCUCUGAUUAAGGCCAGGAAAGAGGGAGGAAGUGGGCAGGAUCCCCACAAAGAUUUUGGAGAAUGCCAGAGUAGAAAAGGCUGCCUCACGAGGAUGACGCUUCUGCCACCUUGUCCUGGGAAGAGUCCAGUGGAGAUGGCUGAGGGAGCUUCCGGGAUGAGGAAGGAAAUAAGCUUCCUGAAGCCGAAAGCAGGGAACAUGACAGAGGAAGAGAGCACCUGGCUCCAGGGGACACAAGGCCACAGUGAGACUGGCCUCAGGGCUGCGAGGAAGAAACACCUCUGCAGAAAGCAGUGAGGGCUGUGGGGCUUAGAUGCCAGGACAACGGGCGACUCUGCCUGAGGACAAAGGCUGACACUCUGAACUCAGGAUUCCCGUGAGGACGGGCAUUACCCAAGUAGCAGAUACCCCCACUCCCAUUCUCCUUCCCGCCGCCCUGAUACCAGGACGGUCCAAGUCCGUGAGCUCCUGAGAACUCGGACGUCUUCCCUCCUGAAAGCAUGAAGACCAGGAAAAGCUCCCAAAUGGACUCAAUGAACAUUAAAUCUUUAACUUUACCCAGAACUGACGGAGGUUACUUUCACACCCAUCGAGUAGAAUCCAAGGCUCAAAGCAGAGACUCAGUUUAAUUAGACAAAAAUAGGAAAAUAAAAGCUGUAUAAUUUGCACAACUGGUUUCCUCUCUCAAAAAUCUGUAUCUGAUAAACAACAGGGCUUGCUGUGUAUCGCUGUACUCUGUAUGUUGCUUAUAAGGCAACAUAUUGCCAAGAGAAAUCAUCUUUUUCAAUUCAGGAAUCACAAGUUUUCAUUUUCAAAUUCUAAAGCUUUAUGUUUUUUGAUUGAAGUGAUAAUAACUCUUUAAUCAAAGUAACUUUGUCUUUGAUCUAGAAAUACCGUUUCUAGGAAUUUAUUCAAAGGAAAUCAUCCAAAAUGUGCUGAAAAAUAAUAAGAGCAGACAUAGUGGCACUGUUCAUCAUGAUAAAAAUUGGGACAAAAACUUUAAUGACCAACAUGAGGGAAUGGGCCUGCAAACAGCAAAGGUGAAUUGCGGGCUCUGGCAUCACACCGUUUGGCUCCCAAACCACAACUUAGCAGCUGUGUGGCCUCAGUAUGAAGACAAUAGAUGCUACAUUCCAAAGGAGCCCCCUUAUAAAAAUGCCAACUCAGUGGCAAGCACUGUUUAAAUGCCUAGCUCAUAAUGAAGACGUGAAAGGGUUAGAUGAGUAGAUGCAAAAGGAGCUUUUCUGAAGAUCUGUCCUGGAGAGCUGUUGAUGCCCCCCACCCCAAAGAGGACAGAUGUGGGAGGGGGUCUUUUGCUUCAAGUCACAGAAAGGGUUUGGGAGCCCUCCAAGAGCUUCAUGUGAGUCCCCCAGAUGCAGUGGACGGGUGUGCUGAAGGAGCUGAAGGGCAGGUGGCCUGCAUGGGCAGAGCCUGCUGACCCACAGAGGCAAGAGCCCUUCUUGCAGGUCCUUCCUAUAAGGCACCUCCAGGGGCAAACGAGACUUGGUGUGAAAGCUAGAGGAUGGCAUCUUCUGCAUCAGGGGAAUGCUGGUGAGAGGUCUCCACAGACAGGAAUCCCCUAGGAAACUGCAAACACACACUAAGGGAAGAGGAGUCCAGCCCACAGAGUAGGGACAAUCUUAUGACAGCAACGGCCAAGUUCAGACUUGCCUACUCCUCCAACUGUUUCUCCCUGCCCGGACCCCAAUUUCAGAAGGACUAGAAAUACGCUCAAUAAUAAGAAGACACUAAUAAGCUAAAGAAAGAGAAAGUCCUAAAUACUGAAAAGCAAUAUAAAUGCUAAGUAAGCGGAAGGGGCAUGGGAGUUAGGAAGAGAGAAGAGGACCACCCUGUCCUGCCUCUCCAGCCACAGGCUUCCUAUGUGCUGCAGCCUUCAGCAGCGGGUCAGGGGAGUCUAACCCUUGGAUGAAAAUUGAGUUUUGAUUAUUACAUCAAAUGAAAUUGAACAUUUUAUGGAAUUAAGAUCAUGUAUUGUGACUCUAAGUGAUCCAUACAGCUUUAAUGACCUAGAAUUGACCAGAAGGUCCCAGAACUUGUUCACUUUCCAUCUGGGUGCAGGAGAAAACUCAGCCACAUGGAGCAUAUUUACAGGGCAAUGAGAUAGAGCUCAAGUGGCUUUGUGACUAUUCCCACAAGUCUGGCUGGCUUAAUGCUCACCUGUAUUACCAAACCUCUCCUAACCUCAGUUUUCCCCACUGCAAAAUGGAGCCAAUGAUGCUGAAACAUCUAUGAGAAUGAAAGAUCAUCCGGGACAGGAUGUAACGCAGGGCCUGGCAGGAGGAAAGUUCGCGCUGAGCGACAGGGCUUGCUGGUUAACAGACAACUGCGUGGCCACGAAAAUCAUACUUUACGAUACUUAGUAACAAGUAAAUACAGCCAAAACACAUGACGGGAAGAGGCAUGCUACAAACACAGUGACCCCACAUCUAACAGUAUAUAUGUAGUCUUUUUCACAGAAAAUCGUCUGGAAGCUAAAACCCCAAAAUAGUAACAAAGGUAAUAAAAAGAUAGGAGGACUGAAGGUUUUACUGAUUUUCUCUAUUGUUUUUUCAUAAAAUUUCUACAAAAAACAUGUACUGCUUUUGUAAUAACAUAUUUAUUUUUAAUCAAGGAGAAAAUAUAUCACUUCUCUAGUCAGUAUCUGCAGUUUUAAUUGUCCCCUUUGUCAUUUUAUAUCCCCAGCUACUUUAAAAUACACAAAGCCAAGCCUCACGUUGGAGCUGCCAUUCCUCUUCUCCCUGAAGGCGGAUUCUGAAGAAGCCACUUAGCUGCGAAGGCCAGUUUCUGCCCGGGAGCUCAGCUCCACCCAGAAGUCUUGCUAGGCUGCAGGCUUCCAGAGCUCUGCAGCAGGCAGCUGAUGCGUCCGGAGGCACUUCUGGACCUCUGUGGCAUUCAUUACCCUGACUCUGCAGGGAACAGAAUGCAUUUUUUUCCCUCCUACUGGGUUGUGGCAAGAACCCAAUCAGCAUCCAGGAAAGCCUCAGGAUUUUUUUCUUUUCUGUUGGGAACAGUGGCAGCUCUUUUUAAGAGCAAUAAUAUUACUAAAGGGGGAUCAAACAAAGAACAUGCUGGUGGCUUAAAAAAAAAACCAGAAAGUCCCCCAUUUUCCUCCUGCAUUUAGAUGGCUGUUUUCUUUGCUGCCUGAGCUCUCUUAAAUGUCUGCACAGGACCACAGGGGCUGCUGAGUCAGAGAGGGUGAAGCAGGAAGGAUAACAGAGGUUUUAUUUAAACAAAAUCUCUGCUUUCAAAAGAACGGAUGCAUUAUUAGCAGUGCAGUCUCAAAUGUGCGUCUGAAGCUCUCUCGGAGUGGCAGAAAUUCUACUUCCGAAACCGAAAGAAUAGUUAGAGACAUUGCCCUUCAAUGACCUUGAUUUGUCCAGCACUUCAGCAGUUACCAGCCAGAAUGCUAGAUCUGAUCUAAGAAUGAAAGAAUGCAAAAUAAUGCAGUCACUUUGGAAAACAGUUUGGCAGUUCCUCAAAAUAUUAAACAUAGAGUUACCAUGUGACCCAGCAGUCCCACUUGUAGAUAUAGACACCACCCCACAAAUGAAAACAUAUAUAUGCCCAAAAACCUGUGAGCGAAUUUUCAUAGCAACAUUUUCAUCAUAGCUAAAUAGUAGAAAUAAAUCAAAUGUCCAUCAACUCAUGCAUGAAAAAAAUAAAAUAUAGUAUUAUCCACACAAUAGGAUAUGCAAUAAAAAAGGAAUAAAGUACAGAUACACACUACAAUGUGGAUGGACCUUGAAAGCAUGCUCUGCAGCCAGUCACAAAAUAUCACAUAGUAUAUGUUGCCACUUGUAUGGAAUAUCCGGAAUAGGUAAAUUCAUAGAGAGAUUAAGUAAAUUGCUGGUUGUCUAGGGCUGAGAGGAGAGGGCUGGGAGAGACAGGAAGUGACUGCCAAUGGGCACAGGUUCCUUUUGGGGGUGAUGAAAAUGUUCUAAAAGUAGAUAGUGGUAAUGAUUGUUCAACUCUGUGAAUAUACUAAAAGCCUUUGAAUUGUACAAUUUAAGUGGGUGAAUUAUAUGGUGUGUGUGUGUGUGUGUGUGUAUAUAUAUAUAUAUGAUUUAUAUCACAAUGUGAAGCUAUUAAAGACAUGCAUGGGGGAAGAGAGAGACUGUCCUAUAAAUAUCUGUCCUAGAAUAUGAGGAUAAGAUACAGCAUUGAUUCUUGACAAUACUAAGAUGUUAAGAAGUUGCUUUUCCCAAUUUCUUCUCUACCAUACCCUCAAAGCCUCAUCUUGCCACCUGACCACAGCCCAGUUUCUCAACAAUUUCCCCAGCUUGUUGAUCAUGCUACUAAUUCACAUCCUGUCUCUCCCCUCCACCCCCACCCUCCUAAAUAAACCC